GGGCACUUGGAGCCCAGGGCAGGGUUCACAGAGCUAUUUUCAGUUCUCUUGCAGGAUCUCCUUCCCAGCCUUCAGAAAUUGCCGGUCUGGGAGUUGGGGGCAAGGAGAAGAUCCUGAAUUAGACCUUUACGAGAAGCACAGUUUUGUCUUCAGUUUCCUCUCCCCCCACCCGGAAUGGCCUGAGCCGAAGCCAGCUCCCUCCGAGAAGUCAUUACCGCCUGACUUGCGUUUGAUAUUUAGACACCUUGGUCACAACAUCUUGCAUUCUCUCGGGAUGCUGAUUUCUAACUGCUCUUUGGCCUUUCCUGCAUUGGUCCUCCUCAGGCAGGGGAUCCCUGCUCUUCUAUAUUAGUGAGAAAACCAAGGCUCAGAGAAACUGUGGAUUUUCUAAGGAUGCUGGCUCCCCGUCCCCUGUCCACCAUGAGUCAAAGCAAUGUGAGUCCCUCACCAGAUGCAACUGCCCAGUCUUGGACUUUCCAGUGACCAGAAUCAUGAGCCAAAUAAACCUCUUUUCUUUAUGAAUUA
rnacentral:lncRNA from 1 species